CCGGGCAGCGACGCGUUUCUCCCGGAGCCCUGGACAGCGUAGUUUUAUCGGCCGAGUGCCGGCUGGAGGCGGCUCGAAGGACUACAGCUCCCAUCGGGCCGUGCUGCCGGCUGGGCGAGGGGCGGGCGGUCGGUGCCUCGGCCUCCCCGUUGCCGGUAGCCCCGGCUGGCUGCCGCGCUUUGGGGCUGCGGCGGCUAAAGGGCCCUUGUGGGGGAGAACCGCGGAGCUUGGCGCCGGGCGGUGCUCCGGUAACGCCAUGGAUAGCCGGUGCUAUGGCUGUGCGUCCAAGUUCUCUGUCUUCAAGAAAGAGUGUGGAUGCAAAAACUGUGGACGGUCGUUCUGCUUGGGCUGCCUUAGCUUCAGUGCUGUUGUUCCCCGCUGUGGAAGCGCUCAGCAGAAGGUGUGCAAGCAAUGCCACGGAAAACUAACUGGAGAGGAACCUCAAAGCAGUUCAGCAAAAUGGUCACCACCAGAGAACUACAAAAAGCGUGUAGCAGCUUUUGAGGCUAAGCAAAACCAGCUGAGAGAACAACAGAAGGCAGCUGCAAAACCCCCAGGUCAAGCAGUCUCCAGAUACCAGGGGCUCUCAAAAGAGGAUAGAGCUAUUGCAGAGAGACUGGAGAGGCUCAGGGAGGAAAGGAAACCAAAGUCCAUCCCCACUCAGGCUGAGAUCGAAGCUAGGCUGGCUGCCCUGAAGGAGGACUGCCGGGGACCUGUUCCAUCCACACAGGAAAUGGAGGACCGGUUGGCUGUCCUGCAGGGGAGAGCUCCUCCUUCCCUGGCUCCCAGACCUGUACACCAACCUCCUGAUACCAGAAGUCUGGUCCAGCAGACAGAUGACCUGUUAACUCAACUGUCUGAGGAAGUUGCCAUUGAUGAAGAUCACAGACCAAGAGUCCAGCCUCAAGCUGUUAGUAGCCAAAGGUUGAAUGAUCUCAAUCGGGAAAGUGAAGAUUGUGUUUGCCCUGCAAAUCUGGACCCAAAACAGCUAGAGGAAGAGAAGAAUAAACUUCUGGCAGAAGCUGCUGCUGAGCUGCGGGAAGAGAACACUAGGCAGGAAAAGAUCCUACAAGUUGCCAAGAGGCUGGCAGCACUCCGAGGCGAGGACCCAGAGAAAGUUACACUGGAAACCUAUAAACUCCCUGACAGCGAUGAGGAAGUGGCUGAGGAGGAAGCCAUUCGCCGAGUGCUAAAACAGCUCACAGAGGAAGCAGCCCUGGAUGAAGCAAGUGGAUUCAACAUUCCUCCAGAUCAGACCACCCAACCAGGACCUUCACAACAGAACCUGCAUAUGAAAGCAAAGCAAAAGAGCUGGACUCCAACCACCACAGCUCUUGCCAGGGCAGAUGACAGUGAUGAGGAUGAGUUACCCUGGUGCUGUAUCUGCAAUGAAGAUGCCACUUUGCGCUGCCACGGCUGCGACGGGGACCUCUACUGCCAGCGCUGUUUUCAGGAAGGCCAUGAUGAGUUUGACCUGAAGGACCACCACACCUCCCGCUAUCAUCUUCCUUGCAAGUAGAAGCAAUCACACUCUUCACAGGCAGAAAAAGAGAUGAAGAACGGGAAAAGAGAGGAGCCGCCCAGAUGGGAAGAGGCCAAGUGGAUUUGCAGCCAAAAUGGUGUACGGAAAGAAAGAAGUCUUGAUGAGCUCCUGAGAAUUGUGUUCAGUGCUCCUCAGCCAGCAUGGAAAUUCCUAGAAGAAACUAAAGGAAUGACGUCUUGUCCUCUUCCCCAGGUUAACAUGCCCUUUAAGAAUCAGGAAAAUGUACAAUCUGGUUCCCUGCUCUGUGCGUAGAUCUGGAAGGAGUGGAGACUUCAAACCACUGGUACAAAGUUCACAAACUUGGUGAUGUUUCUCAAUAACAGUAAGUCCUAAACAUAUUCUGAAGUGAUGUUGCUGAUCCUGGUUUUUGGGGGGGAAGAUACACAUUUCCCUGUGACCGAAGCUGGUUGUUCCACGUGGGCAAGGUCAUUUCUUCUGAGGAUUGGUGACUCUCCGGAGACCUUUCAAUCGACUAAGCAAUUCCGUAAUGAAGUCCUACAAUGAGAAUUGUUUGAAGAAGGGUAUCAUGUUAAUUCCAGUGCUUGCCAGCCCAAAGAGUACUACGGCACUUGGUUUAUUCCCACCUUCGCCUUCAUGUUGAACAGAAACCAGAAUUUUCGUAUGUAUUGAGCAAACCUAUCUUUUAGCUUAGGAGAGGAGACCUUUUGAUGGAUGAGAAGGGUUUAAAAGCCUCUCUACUUCCCUUCCACUGUCAUCCUCUGCAGCAGCCACGUUCACUUUCUCCCCAGGAGCCAGCCUGCCCUUCUUCAGCCCAGAUACCUGCUUUUUCCACCCUGAGAUGACCUGGGAUGCUGUUGUCCUCUGUUAGAUUCCACUCCUUCCUGUUGCCACCAUAACCUCCUGCCCACUUCUGCUGCCCUCCCAAUCUAGGGCAAAGCAAGCUGUCCCUCUUGUUGAACCUGUAAAGAUCCAUGGUGUGGAUUGCAAACCAUCCCAAAGCUGUGCCAAUUCUACAAGGAAGUGGCUGACAGAAUAGAGGUGGAGCAAAACACACAUAGGACUAAUGAUAACCUGGAGCAGGGGUUGAGGACAGGCAGAGCAGAUGGAUGAGCAGUUAAUGGAGAUAAACCCCGACUACUUUGCUGACACAGCCAAGGACUAUGAACUAAACUGGACCAUCUGGUUAUUCCAAGCAGAAGUCAAUGUGAGCAGUGCAAACUUCACCCUCUGUGUGACAGCUAACAUCACUAUAAAGGAGCAUACAGCCUUUCUUCACCCAAAGAGAUAGCUACAUGUCCUUGUAAUUAGGCAAGGUCACUGGAAGUAUUGCAGCUUGUUACCAUUUGUGCUGUGGGGAAGCCCAGCUUCCUCACCUGGGUGAUCAGAGCUUGCUUGUCACAGCAUGCUCUGGAGGUAAAUGCCUAGGAUCACACACACCUUUGUCAGUUCCUUCAGAGGAAACCAGUUUUUCCUCUGUCUGCUUUCUGCAAAUAGACUGCUGUGAUCUUUCAGGGGGACUGGAUUCAGGAUUACCGGGGUGAAAGUACAUAUUUUUGCCAGUGGGACAGCAGUAACUGUAGUGGGCAAGUAACAUGCUGUCUGCAAGACACUUUCAUGGCUUGUGAAUUAGUAGCACAAACUCUUCAGUUAUCUCUCUGGGAAUGUGGGGUUCUUACCCAAGAUCUGAAAUUCAGACACAAAACUAUUUUCAUUCUGCCAGCCUUGUCAGCUGAACCCCUGCUAGGAGACUAUCUGUAAUCACUGCUGCAGCCGAGUUUAAUUUCGGUGAUGGUCAUGCAUCCACCUCAUUUUCUGCGCGUUCAUCGCCGUACAGCUACAGAGGCUCGACAGGAUGUGAAGGCUGAUGAACGGUGUCCAGGCACAGCGUUCACAUGCAGUGCGUGUGACUGAGGCAGUGAGAGGUGCCCCGUUUUGCACAGGUAUGCAGCUCAUUGAAGGCAACUGCUCUGUGGUCUGUGCACUAUGCUGCUAAGUAUGGGGCUCCACUCCUUUGGACAUUGUGGCAGUUUGUGGAAUUUCUUUAACUCUCUAACUCAGAACCAGUAUUUGUAAAGUUCACAUGGGAAAAGAAAAAUAUAUAAAACUAAUUUAUGUGGGUACUGCUCAACAAUUAUCUGUCUGAUCCAAUUGAGGGCCAUCCUACAUUCUUGUCACUCCUAACACUAGCGUGGUUUAAGCUAAGAAUGCAUUUAGUUAACAGUGUGCAAGACAGUUAUGUGAGCUGUAUCACUGUCUAUGGCUUUUCUACACUGAAGACCAAAUAGCAACUCAGCCUGGUGAUCUUAGGAUGUCCAAAACAUGGAAUGAACUUUCUUUGGUUGUAAAGCAUACUUCCUUGUUUGCUCCACUGCUCUGCAUUCAGCUCAUCCAUGUAGAUUUACAUGUAUUUUUCUAACACAGCAGAAUAAAGUGGCAAACAUCUCCCAUUGGGAAUUAAACAAA